GGUAGCUAUGUGUGGAAGGGAUAAACGCUGAAAGCAUCUAAGCGUGAAGCCCCCCUCGAGAUGAGAUUUCCCAUUGCUUCGGCAAGUAAGACCCCUGAGAGAUGAUCAGGUAGAUAGGUUGGAAGUGGAAGUACAGCGAUGUAUGGAGCGGACCAAUACUAAUCGGUCGAGGACUUAACCAA
rnacentral:rRNA from 1 species